rnacentral:pre_miRNA from 1 species
AGUUUGUAUCCUUUGACAGAUACGCGUAUUUCGACCUCAACUGUAAGGCCGUCUUCAGUGUCGUGUACUAGACUAGACAGUUGAGGUCGAAAUACGCGUAUCUGUCAAAGGAUACAAACUC